rnacentral:tRNA from 4 species
GGGUUGGUAGCUCAGUCGGUAGAGCACUGGACUUUUAAUCCAUUGGUCGUGGGUUCGAAUCCCACCCAACCCACCA